rnacentral:rRNA from 1 species
CCUACGGGAGGCAGCAGUGAGGAAUAUUGGUCAAUGGACGAGAGUCUGAACCAGCCAAGUAGCGUGAAGGAUGACUGCCCUAUGGGUUGUAAACCUCUUUUAUAUGGGAUCAAAAUGUCCCACGUGUGGGUUUUUGUAUGUACCAUAUGAAUAAGGAUCGGCUAACUCCGUGCCAGCAGCCGCGGUAAUACGGAGGAUCCGAGCGUUAUCCGGAUUUAUUGGGGUUAAAGGGUGCGCAGGUGGAUUGUUAAGUCAGUUGUGAAAGGUUGCGGCUCAACCCUGAAAUUGCAGUUGAAACUGGCAGUGUUGAGUGGAGGAGAGGUAGGCGGAAUGCGUGGUGUAGCGGUGAAAUGCUUAGAUAUCACGAAGAACUCCGAUUGCGAAGGCAGCUCGCUGGACUGCAACUGACGCUGAGGCUCGAAAGUGUGGGUAUCAAACAGGAUUAGAUACCCCUGUAGUC